GAUGAACGCUGGCGGCGUGCCUAAUACAUGCAAGUCGAGCGAACAGAUAAGGAGCUUGCUCCUUUGACGUUAGCGGCGGACGGGUGAGUAACACGUGGGUAACCUACCUAUAAGACUGGAAUAACUCCGGGAAACCGGGGCUAAUGCCGGAUAACAUUUAGAACCGCAUGGUUCUAAAGUGAAAGAUGGUUUUGCUAUCACUUAUAGAUGGACCCGCGCCGUAUUAGCUAGUUGGUAAGGUAACGGCUUACCAAGGCAACGAUACGUAACCGACAAGAGAGUGAGAUGGCACACACUGGAACAGAGAAAAGGACCAGACUCCUACGCGAGGAACCAGUAGGGAAUCUUCCGCAAUGGGCGAAAGCCUAACGGAACAACAACGAGUGAGUGAUGAAGGCAUUCGGAUCAUAAAUCUCUGUUAUUAGGGAAGAACAAAUGUGUAAGUAACUGUGCACGUCUUGACGGUACCGAAUCAAAAAGCAACGGCUAACUACGUG
rnacentral:rRNA from 1 species